rnacentral:rRNA from 1 species
UGGGGAAUAUUGGACAAUGGGGGAAACCCUGAUCCAGCAAUGCCGCGUGAGUGAAGAAGGCCUUAGGGUUGUAAAGCUCUUUCACCCGUGACGAUGAUGACGGUAGCGGGAGAAGAAGCCCCGGCUAAUUCCGUGCCAGCAGCCGCGGUAAUACGGAAGGGGCUAGCGUUGUUCAGAUUUACUGGGCGUAAAGCGCACGUAGGCGGCCGACCAAGUUAGGCGUGAAAGCCCUGGGCUCAACCUAGGAAUUGCGCUUAAAACUGGUUGGCUAGAGUCCGGGAGAGGGUGGUGGAAUUCCCAGUGUAGAGGUGAAAUUCGUAGAUAUUGGGAGGAACACCGGUGGCGAAGGCGGCCACCUGGCCCGGUACUGACGCUAAAGUGCGAAAGCGUGGGGAGCAAACAGGAUUAGAUACCCCCGUAGUCC